rnacentral:rRNA from 1 species
UACAGAGGGUGCGAGCGUUGUCCGGAAUCACUGGGCGUAAAGCGCGCGCAGGCGGCUAUCCAAGUCAGUGGUGAAAGCCCGGAGCUCAACUCCGGAACUGCCAUUGAAACUGUUUAGCUUGAGGACGAGAGAGGUUAGUGGAAUUCCCAGUGUAGAGGUGAAAUUCGUAGAUAUUGGGAAGAACACCAGUGGCGAAGGCGGCUAACUGGUCCAGAUCUGACGCUGAGGUGCGAAAGCGUGGGGAGCGAACAGG